GUGCUUGUUUUGGCAGCACAUAUACUGAAAUUGGAAGGAUACAGAGAUUAACAUGGUCCCUGUUCAAGGAUGACAUGCAAAGAAAAAAAAAAAAAAGACCAAAU
rnacentral:snRNA from 1 species